rnacentral:piRNA from 1 species
UGGGUGGUCUUUAUUUUGGUUGAAGGGUA